rnacentral:rRNA from 1 species
AUGCCUAUCCGAGCCUCCCUCUACGCGGAUGACGCGGCGGUUUUCCUUGCGCCCAUCAAAACCGAGGUCAAGUUUUUUGCGGAUACACUUGCACAGUUUGGGGAAGUGAUGGGACUAACAAUGAACUGCUCUAAAAGUCUUGUUGCCCCCAUUCGAUGUGACUCCUUGGAUCUUGAUGAUAUACUCAGCUCCUUCCCCGCCAAUCGCGCCUCCUUCCCAAUGAAAUAUCUUGAGCUGCCGUUGUCAACCAAGAGGCUCAAAACAAUCCAUUUUCAACCUCUCGAAGAUAAGAUUGCUGCUCAACUUACCCCUUGGAUGGGCAAGCAUGUGGCGCAGCCGGGACGGGCUGUGUUG